GUUGUCGUCAGCUCGUGCCGUGAGGUGUCGGCUUAAGUGCCAUAACGAGCGCAACCCUUAUCUUCAGUUACUAACAGGUCAUGCUGAGGACUCUGGAGAGACUGCCGUCGUAAGAUGUGAGGAAGGUGGGGAUGACGUCAAAUCAGCACGGCCCUUACGUCCGGGGCUACACACGUGUUACAAUGGGGGGUACAGAAGGCAGCUACCGGGCGACCGGAUGCCAAUCCCAAAAACCUCUCUCAGUUCGGAUCGAAGUCUGCAACCCGACUUCGUGAAGCUGGAUUCGCUAGUAAUCGCGCAUCAGCCAUGGCGCGGUGAGUACGUUCCCGGGCCUUGUACACACCGCCCGUCAAGCCAUGAAAGCCGGGGGUACCUGAAGUACGUAACCGCAAGGAGCGUCCUAGGGUAAAACUGGUAAUUGGGGCUAAGUCGUAACAAGGUAGCCGUACCGGAAGGUGCGGCUGGAUCACCUC
rnacentral:rRNA from 1 species